rnacentral:lncRNA from 1 species
UUGAGACUUACAUUAUUACAUUGAAUUCUAUGAAGUACAUGCCCAGACAAAUAACCUCUCACAGGAGAGGGAUGUCCAUACUCCACUUGCAUUUCGUAAGGGAGAAUGAUUUUUUAAAUAUAAAGAACAUUUAGCCCCCACAAUGCUUUUGUAGGGGUUAGAACCGCUGCCCUCACAAACAUUGUGAGGGCAGCAGCCCACCACUUCGGC